GCAGUAGGGAAUCUUCCGCAAUGGACGAAAGUCUGACGGAGCAACGCCGCGUGAGCGAAGAAGGCCUUCGGGUCAUAAAGCUCUGUUGUUAGGGAAGAACAAGUACCAGAGUAACUGCUGGUACCUUGACGGUACCUAACCAGAAAGCCACGGCUAACUACGUGCCAGCAGCCGCGGUAAUACGUAGGUGGCAAGCGUUGUCCGGAAUUAUUGGGCGUAAAGCGCGCGCAGGCGGUUCCUUAAGUCUGAUGUGAAAGCCCACGGCUCAACCGUGGAGGGUCAUUGGAAACUGGGGAACUUGAGUACAGAAGAGGAGAGCGGAAUUCCACGUGUAGCGGUGAAAUGCGUAGAGAUGUGGAGGAACACCAGUGGCGAAGGCGGCUCUCUGGUCUGUAACUGACGCUGAGGCGCGAAAGCAUGGGUAGCAAACAGGAUUAGAUACCCUGGUAGUCCAUGCCGUAAACUUUGAACACUCGGAGUUUGCCACCUAGUGGUAAGCUCCCUAGCGAAAGCGUUAAGUGUUCCACCUGGGGAGUACGGCCGCAAGGCUAAAACUCAAAGGAAUUGACGG
rnacentral:rRNA from 1 species